rnacentral:rRNA from 1 species
UACAGAGGGGGCGAGCGUUGUUCGGAAUUACUGGGCGUAAAGGGCGCGUAGGCGGGCUGGCAAGUCAGUCGUGAAAUCUCUCGGCUCAACCGAGAAACGUCGGCUGAUACUGCCGUUCUUGAGGGAUGCAGAGGAGACUGGAAUUCCCGGUGUAGCGGUGAAAUGUGUAGAGAUCGGGAGGAACACCGGUGGCGAAGGCGGGUCUCUGGGCAUCUCCUGACGCUGAGGCGCGAAAGCGUGGGGAGCAAACGGG